CCGAUAACGAGCGAGACUUUUAUGUUAUAUUAAAUAAUAUUAUUUUAAAUUUUAUUUACAUAAUAUUUUAUUUUAAUAACAGAUUAAUAGUGUUUAACUAUUUGAGAGAGAGCAAUAACAGGUCUGUGAUGCCCUUAGAUGUCCGGGGCUGCACGCGCGCUACAAUGUAGUGAUCAUUAUGUUCCUGUUUAGAGAUAAAUGGGUAAACAUUUAAAACAUUACGUAACUGGGAGUGAAAAUUGCAAUUAUUUUUCAUGAACGAGGAAUUCCAAGUAAACGUAAGUCAUUAACUUACAUUGAUUACGUCCCUGCCCUUUGUACACACCGCCCGUCGCUGCCCGGAACUGAGCAAUAUCGAGAGGCAGGAAGAGAUACAAAAAAUAUUUAUAUUUUUUUGUGUUAAAUCCUUUCAAUCGCUGUUGUUUGAACCGGGC
rnacentral:rRNA from 1 species